rnacentral:rRNA from 1 species
ACUCCUACGGGAGGCAGCAGUGGGGAAUCUUAGACAAUGGGGGAAACCCUGAUCUAGCCAUGCCGCGUGAGUGAUGAAGGCCUUAGGGGUGUAAAGCUCUUUCAGUGGGGAAGAUAAUGACGGUACCCACAGAAGAAGCCCCGGCUAACUCCGUGCCAGCAGCCGCGGUAAUA